rnacentral:piRNA from 1 species
UGGAGGAAAAUUUUACCUUUGUCUAUUUUA